GUCGGGUUCGGGAUGAACCGGUUCACCCGACCACCCAUGAUCAGUUGGACGCGCUUGCCGGCCUGCACGACCUGCACUCCGCGGUGCUUGAACCGCGG
rnacentral:sRNA from 1 species